CCUUGGAUAACGACCCUGACUUAUAAAUCUGAUCACGUCCUUCGACUACUGAGGGUAGUCCUUUAUAAGGUGUUGGGUGCUUCCGUAUCAAAAGCAGAUGUGAUUGAUACACCGAUAGGGUAAGUUACCAUGCGAGUGAUCACAAUGUUGACAUGGUUGGGAAGGUCGAACAAGUUGUCCACUAGGUGGAGGUAGGGCAAGGGGAAGGGCAAUUGGGGCUCGUUUAUCGAGGGGCUACUUAUUGGGUCGUGCAAUCUUCUUCUGGGUUGUUGGACACAGACUCGGGAGGGGCAUUGGUGUUUGGCCAAGAUGAGGUCUUUGGCUAACUGGGCAUGUUCUAGCACCUUGGUGUACGAGCUAGGUCUCAGCAUCAUAAUCCAGUUUAUAGAUAUCAGCAUGAAGGCCUUUUAAAAUCUUCCUACCUUUACGACUUUGGGGGUUACCAUUAGAGGGG
rnacentral:lncRNA from 1 species